rnacentral:lncRNA from 1 species
GGAGGAGCGGAAGAGGCACGUGCCGCGUUUGUCACGUGGCCCCCGUGUGUUAACUCGAUUGGUGAAUAAAUAAUUGGCGCUGAGCAAUGUUUUUAAUUUAUUCCGUUUCCAUGAGAACAAAUGUUUUGUUUAUCGGGGCCACUGUUUAAAGCCAUAUACCGUAUUGUGUGUUGGUACCGAUCAAAGAGCUGCUGGUUUCCAGUGGUUCUCUCAUAUUGUUCGCCACAUUCUGAGCUGACAAUGAGCGCGUCUGCUAAUGCGCGUCAGUUUGGAAGCACUUUCGUUCAGGAAGAGAGUUACGAGAAAAAGGAAGAGGAAGAGCUGCUGGGCAGAAAAGAUGAAGGCAGCAGCAUCAGGACUGCAAAGCAGAAGGGUGAGUUGAAGAGCUUGUCCCAGGUGGUUUCAGCCAGCGUCCUCAGACACACACAGCGGGUGCUGAAAAGAGAGGCUGCUCUUUGGCACAGAGCACUUGUCAUGGAGCGCCGAGCAGCACUGCUGGAUCUUCUGGAACAGGACAGACAACAGUACACAAUGGAGCUCAAUCAGAUGGGGAAAGCUUUUUACAUGCUAAGGAUCUAAACACACAUUGUUUUUCAUUGUUGGAUGAGAUCAUUCCUCUGGUUAGUUUUAUUUGUCCCUAAUAUUUAAUGGAUCACUGAACCUUUUAAACUGUAACAUGGCUUAGUUUUGCAUUAGGCAUACCAACAAUAUCGCUAGCAAAAAAAGUAUAUAGUUUGAUAGCUAUAUGAAGAGUAUUUUAACUGAAUGAAAUAAAACCGGUUUCACACCCUGUAACUUGAAUGAA